rnacentral:rRNA from 1 species
UACGUAGGGUGCAAGCGUUACUCGGAAUUACUGGGCGUAAAGCGUGCGCAGGCGGUUUUGUAAGCCAGAUGUGAAAUCCCCGGGCUUAACCUGGGAAUGGCAUUUGGGACUGCAAGGCUGGAGUUUGGCAGAGGAGACUGGAAUUCCUGGUGUAGCAGUGAAAUGCGUAGAUAUCAGGAGGAACACCGAUGGCGAAGGCAGGUCUCUGGGCUGAAACUGACGCUCAUGCACGAAAGCGUGGGGAGCAAACAGG